AGAAAAGAGAGAAAGAAUAGGAGAGAAAGGAAGAGAAGAGAACAAAAAAAAAAAAAAAAAGAAAGAAGAAGAGAAGAAAGCAAAGAAAGAAUUUAUAGGAAAAAGACAUAGGGUGAGGAAGGAGGAAGAUUCAUCAGGAAUUCCUGCACCGACUUUGGGUCUACUCAAAUCUUAUUUCACGUGAAGUAUGACAGAUUUUUAAAUGCUCUGCUCAAAUAAGAUUAUGUCGGGGACAAUAUCUUGAGCUGCGUGAUCACUUGGAUUAAGAUUUGGAUUUCCAUGCUCAGUUGAAGGUGUUCUUUGUUCUCCAUCGAAAGCAAAAUUCUGAUCUGUGUGCUGUGAAAAGCUUGAGGGACUUGCUGGGUAGCGAUUGCAUGGAGAAGGUAUAGUACUAGUAGCAGCCCCCGAACUAUGGUGGGCUUGAAUGCCAGUUUUUGCUUUGAAAGUAUGUGAAGUGAGGUCCCUUGAAACAAAGAUUCUAAACAAAGUACGAAUGGGAUCCGAUUCUUUCAAGACUUCCCUGUGCUCGUGAAGGAAAAUGGCCAUGGAAAUGAUGAGAGUCAAGAUUGAAGCUAUGCCAGCGAUGAGAAACAGCCCCCAGAAACUGUUAAGGCCAAGGCGUGAAGAAACUACGAUGCUGGGGUCCGGGCAGCUGUACUUCUUGAACCAUGCAUCUUCAAUCUUCUUCAUUUUUUCUCCCUCGGUCACAUUCAAGAUCGCCCUGGAAACGUCUGGGACUAGAGGAGAACCAAGCGGGAAGGCCUGCAACACAACAAAUGAAAAGAGAGCUACAUGAGAAGUAGGGCAAAGUAGGAGUAGUGCUGGACGUGAAAGUGCAGUUUGGUUCAAAUUCGUUUAGUUUGAAUUUAAACUGAAUUUGAGUUAAAACGCUUGAUUUCUUUUGAAAUUGAAUCAAAUUUGAGUUAGAGAGAUUUUGACUUAGUUUGGCUCGUGAGUUAAGUAGAUGGUUUAAUUCAGUUCAAACCCUUUGCUUGUAAUUUAAUUUGAAUUAUGUUAAACAAAUGUUAAAUGACAUGGUUUUACCCAUUAUUUGAUUAAA